GACGAACGCUGGCGGCAUGCUUAACACAUGCAAGUCGAACGGAAAGGCCCUGCUUUUGUGGGGUGCUCGAGUGGCGAACGGGUGAGUAACACGUGAGUAACCUGCCCUUGACUUUGGGAUAACUUCAGGAAACUGGGGCUAAUACCGGAUAGGAGCUCCUGCUGCAUGGUGGGGGUUGGAAAGUUUCGGCGGUUGGGGAUGGACUCGCGGCUUAUGAGCUUGUUGGUGGGGUAGUGGCUUACCAAGGCUUUGACGGGUAGCCGGCCUGAGAGGGUGACCGGCAACAUUGGGACUGAGAUACGGCCCAGACUGCUACGGGAGGCAGCAGUGGGGAAUAUUGCACAAUGGGCGGAAGCCUGAUGCAGCAACGCCGCGUGCGGGAUGACGGCCUUCGGGUUGUAAACCGCUUUCGCCUGUGACGAAGCGUGAGUGACGGUAAUGGGUAAAGAAGCACCGGCUAACUACGUG
rnacentral:rRNA from 1 species